AGAAUCAACGCUGGCGGCGUGCCUCAGACAUGCAAGUCGAACGCGAAAGUUCCCUUCGGGGAGCGAGUAGAGUGGCGCACGGGUGAGUAACACGUAGGUAAUCUACCUUUGGGUGGGGAAUAACAGCCGGAAACGGCUGGCUAAAUACCGCAUAAUGCAGCGGCUCGACAUCGAGACAGUUGUUAAAAGCGGGGGAUCGCAAGACCUCGCGCCUAAAGAGGAGCCUGCGGCGGAUUAGCUUGUUGGUGAGGUAAUGGCUCACCAAGGCUUCGAUCCGUA
rnacentral:rRNA from 1 species